AGUGCAUACAUGAAACUAUCAAUUUGUAUAGCAAACAGGAUUGGCCAUCUUCAUAUUCUUUCUUUAUCCAUUCAAAGCUGCUACCAUAAGGACCAUGUUAACCUCAUGAAAACCAUUAUUAUAGCUUCAGGGGUCCUACCCUACAGGUUACAGGUAUGGUGUUAGAAAGGGAUAAAAAUACUGAAAUACCCCCCCCCCUGCUAUUUGAUGCCAGACAACAAGGGCAAUUAUGACAGGGAAAUGCUUCAAAGAGAAUAUUUUUCUAGUUAACAGACAGGGAAUCAUAGAAGCAAUGCAGCUGGAGAAUCAGAGAGAAAGACAAGUGAAUUGGAAAUCUUACAGCAAGAGUUGGAAGAUCUGAGAGAAAAUAGAACAAAAGAGCAAACAAAGUACAGGGAAAUGAGAAAAAUAAAACUGAAGAAAUGUAUGCCAGCCUUUGUUAGAUUCGAUUUUGCUUUUCUACUUUUCCCAACUCCCUAGGCCCACUGAAGUGACAAAACAACACUGUAAAAAUCACCAGCUCCUCCAAGCUUCAAGCUUUUGGGAUCCGAGAAUAGAAGGCUAUGUGAUAUCAGAUAAUAGAAAGCCUUUUCAAGAAAACAUAAAUUCUCAGCAAAAGAACUUCAAAAAGAACAUAAUGCUUCAAAAAAAGAAAAUGCAAUUAGUAAAAAGAGAGAGAGAGAGAGAGAGAGAGAGAGAUGAAGAAAUUGUGGCUUUACUUUAGCAGGAAGAAAAAUAAUAUAAGAGAAAAAACUGUUGGGGGGGGGGGG